GCUGGGUGUGGUGGCGCAUGCCUGUAGUCCCAGCUACUCGGGAGGCUGAGGUGGGAGGAUCGCUUGAGCCCAGGAGUUCUGGGCUGUAGUGCGCUAUGCCGAUCGGGUGUCCACACUAAGUUUGGCAUCAAUAUGGUGACCUCCCGCAAGCAGGGGACCACCAGGUUGCCUAAGGAGAGGUGAACCGGCCCAGGUCGGAAAUGGAGCAGGUCAAAACUCCCGUGCUGAUCAGUAGUGGGAUCACGCCUGUGAAUAGCCACUGCACUCCAGCCUGGGCAACAUAGUGAGACCCCGUCACU
rnacentral:SRP_RNA from 1 species